AACUGCAAGCAAAUACAAGGUCCCUUAGGGACCUAUUUCCACCACCUACCUCCUAAAGGUGCCACCAUCCAGAGGGGUCACUCCUGAAGAUGUUCACACAGCCCUCCUUCAACAGCAGAAUUGCUUUCAACUUGUUCCCACUAAGACUGCUUUUAAGUCUGUCACCACCAACUCAUCUAGGCUGCUCAUUUCUUUGACAAUGCAAGUUGACACCUUUGUGGUCUCCCAGAGCAUGGAUUCCAGCUCCAGGUGUCCCCGCUGUACCCAGGGUGUCCUCCAGACACUCAGAUCUGUACAAAAUCAAGUGACUCCCAGCAGUUACCAGCAUAGAGUGGUGCCCACCUAGAAUUCCAUCCUUAGUGUCGAUCUGCCAUGGCUCUGUGUGCCAUUACAGGUACAGAGGAGCACACUUUCAACCACAUCCUUGCGUUCCUGGUCUUUAUCUGUGCCCUUCCUUCAGCUGGCAAAGCUGGACUGCCUUAGUCUCUUCCCUGUAGUAUCUUGCUAGGGCAGCCUGUAGCUGUCCCUCACAGCCAGUGUUUCCAGCUUCCUCUACCAUGCCUACCGCACUCUUCCACACACUCUCUGCCUUGUGAGUCCUCCAUUUAGGUGGGCUUCAACAGAUGUUUGGAUGUGAGGACAUCCCACGGCAAACCAGCAUUUCAAACCCCAAUGUUUGCUGCCAACCACAGCCUACCCCAGUCAAUACCAUAUGCCCAGUGUCCUGUUGGCCAGCACCCCUCCUCCAAGAGGGCUUCUGCAUUAGAGGCUAACUUAUACCCUAACCACAGACAAUGAUGAGAGCCACACGGGAAUGGUGGGGGUAUGUUGUCUUUUUCUCCCUCUGGGGCUACCCAGGGACCUGUGCUGAUGGAGGGGAUUUCAAGUGUUUCCAGACAAUGUGCCAGGGAUUAAGAGCCAUAGAGGGGGUCAUACCCCAUUUCUACUCCCACAGUCCACCCUGGUCUAUGUAGAGUAUUUAGCAGGUAAUACUAGUUAAGGGCUGAGGUGGAAAGUUUGGGGUAUGUCUGCAUUUCAAGAGAAGGGAUGAGCUAAGCGUGGAGGAGCAUGGUGUCAGUGAAGCAGUGUGACAGGGUCAAAACAUGGAGAGGGGCCUGAAGAGAUGGCUCAGUGGGUAAGAGCAUAGACCUGUUUUUCCUAAGGACACGGGUUCCAUUCCCAACACUCAACAUGGCUACUUGCAACUGUUAACUCCAGUCCCAGGAGCUCUGACACUCACUUUGUACCUCUGUGGGUACCAGGCAUACAUGUGGUGCACAGAUGUUUGUGUAAACCAAACACCCAUACACGUAAAAUAAAAUUGAAAAACAUUUUAGAGGUCAGGCUCCUGAUGGAAGAGACUGGAAUCCGCGGAGACCUGAAGCCUGCCUGCGGCCAUGGUAGGAGGAGAUGGUGGGUCUGCAUAUAGUCCCCAUGUCACCUAGAGCCUUUACCCAGGUUCUUAGAGCCCUGAGACUUUCUUUAGGCCAUGCCCUGUGCAGUCUGGAAUGUCCAUUAGCACUCUUCUCCAUAGAGACUUGGAAAGUUUUCUGGGGAACUUCUGGCAUAAAGACAAGGCACAACUGAGCUCACCCACUGGUUAGUGCCAACAAUGUAAAGGAAACAUGGAACAAAUCAAGCGUGCACUUGAGACACAGCUGGGGAACACUGGCAGAGAACAGAGCACACGGCUCACACAUAAACAGGAGAGGGUGUAAAACAGCCUACACAGAUCAGAAUCAGCCCUGUGAAAAGUAACAAUGGUAACAGAAACACCAGGGACCUUGGACAUUUUUUCAUUACUAUUUUAUAUAGGAAACACUGGGGUUCAGGAUGGUGUUUUCAUAGUCUAUAUACUGUACUCAUACCUUCUCAUGCCCCACUUCUCCACUAAACAAAUUUCCUCCCAUCCCCUUACUCACUCACUCCCUUCUGAGUCUGGCUUCUUUUUGUUCUGUGUGUGUGAGUGUAUGUGCCUACAUGUACACAGGUCAUCUGCAUGAGUAGCCAGUGUUCUUAACCACUGAACCAUCUCUCCAGCAAGUGCCCAGCUUUUUCAUGUUAACAUGAAACCUCUAGUUUUAUCAAAUUCCCUGCCAAGGACAUAGUUUCAUGCUUCUCUGUGGAUGAAUAAUACAGCACUAUAAUUAUUUACCACAUUUCCUUUAUCCAUUCAUCUGCUGAUGGACGUCUAAACUAAUACCAUAUCUUGACUGUAGUGAACAGUGCUACAAUAAACACAGAUGCAUGGGUAUCUCUGUUGUAGACUUAGAUUCCGUCAGAUGCAAACCCAGGCGUGCU
rnacentral:lncRNA from 1 species